UGGGGAAUAUUGCACAAUGGGCGAAAGCCUGAUGCAGCGACGCCGCGUGAGGGAUGACGGCCUUCGGGUUGUAAACCUCUUUCAGCAGGGACGAAGCGCAAGUGACGGUACCUGCAGAAGAAGCACCGGCUAACUACGUGCCAGCAGCCGCGGUAAUACGUAGGGUGCAAGCGUUGUCCGGAAUUACUGGGCGUAAAGAGUUCGUAGGCGGUUUGUCGCGUCGUUUGUGAAAACCAGCAGCUCAACUGCUGGCUUGCAGGCGAUACGGGCAGACUUGAGUACUGCAGGGGAGACUGGAAUUCCUGGUGUAGCGGUGAAAUGCGCAGAUAUCAGGAGGAACACCGGUGGCGAAGGCGGGUCUCUGGGGAGUAACUGACGCUGAGGAACGAAAGCGUGGGUAGCGAACAGG
rnacentral:rRNA from 1 species